GCAUAACGUCGCAAGACCAAAGAGGGGGACCUUCGGGCCUCUUCCCAUCGGAUGUGCCCAGAUGGGAUUAGCUUGUUGGUGGGGUAACGGCUCACCUAGGCGACGAUCCCUAGCUGGUCUGAGAGGAUGACCAGCCCACACUGGAACUGAGACACGGUCCAGAUUCCUACGGGAGGCAGCAGUGGGGAAUAUUGCACAAUGGGCGCAAGCCUGAUGCAGCCAUGCCGCGUGUAUGAAGAAGGCCUUCGGGUUGUAAAGUACUUUCAGCGGGGAGGAAGGGAGUAAAGUUAAUACCUUUGCUCAUUGACGUUACCCGCAGAAGAAGCACCGGCUAACUCCGUGCCAGCAGCCGCGGUAAUACGGAGGGUGCAAGCGUUAAUCGGAAUUACUGGGCGUAAAGCGCACGCCGCCGGUUUGUUAAGUCAGAUGUGAAAUCCCCGGGCUCAACCUGGGAACUGCAUCUGAUACUGGCAAGCCUGAGUCUCGUAGAGGGGGGUAGAAUUCCAGGUGCAGCGGUGAAAUGCGUAGAGAUCUGGAGGAAUACCGGUGGCGAAGGCGGCCCCCUGGACGAAGACU
rnacentral:rRNA from 1 species